CAGCAAAGGUGGUGAUGGGACAUAGAAGUCAUGUGUAGUAGAUGAUGGAAUUUUAAUGGUAACAGUGAAUUAAUUAAAAUAUAGGUAAAGAAGACCCUUAAGAUAAACCAUUGGCAUCUCACGCAGGCCAGUUUAACAUGUUUCUGUUUUAUUAUCACAAGCAGAAGACCUAGUUAGGAUCACAGGACAAGAGAGAGAGUAUGAGUGGAGCAGCUGAAAGUGAUUGCAGGAGUUAGGAGAAAAGCCAAAUCAGAUACCUCUGCCAGUUUGUCAAUGAGAUUCGUGUUCAUCAUUCAUGCUAGGAGAGAAGACUGUUAGGUGAAAAGGUUAAAAAGAGGGUUUAGGAAGACCUGACCUCGGCUCACGGGUGGUGCGCCUGACCUCUGACCACGGGUGGUGCGCCUGACCUCUGCUGAGAUAGACUGCAGCAAUCAUCCAACAUGCCAUUUAUUCAUCCACAUUUCAAGCCGUCUUGCAGGCAGUUGGGGCUAUAUGGCUAGAUGUAUCCAAUGAGUGAGAGCUGGAAAUGAUAUCUUUCACUUCUGG
rnacentral:lncRNA from 1 species